rnacentral:ncRNA from 1 species
UUAUAGAGGCGCGGCUGCGAAAAGUAGCGGGACAAAAGAGGCAGGUCUCUCCCCCGAAAGGCAAAGCCGCCGAAGUUUCCCUCCCCCCUGCAAGGUCGGAAGCUGGGUACGGCGCGAACAGCGUUGUAACUGUCAUCUGCGGAUGGAGCACUAUAA